rnacentral:lncRNA from 1 species
CAGAGGACCCGGAGCAUUAUCUGAAUGAACUAAUGACCAACAGGCGGGCAGAAAUGAGUGCUGCGGAUUGAUAACAGGGACAGCCAGACCCCCUCCCAUCCCCACGAGGCAGAGGCACCAAUUCGAGAGCUUGAGACUAGCCUAAGCAACAUGGCCACCUGGCUUUCCCACACAUCAACCUCGUGCUCACACCCCACUCUGGAGACCACCAGCUUCGAGGCAAAAAGAGAGAACGACGUACAAUGGGGUAAAGCCUCCAUGUGUAGGCGAUGUUGUGAGGAAAGGGUGGCCGGUUGGAAGGGAACAUUUUUAAAUUG